UACGUAGGGUCCGAGCGUUGUCCGGAAUUACUGGGCGUAAAGAGCUCGUAGGUGGUUUGUCGCGUUGUUCGUGAAAACUCACAACUCAAUUGUGGGCGUGCGGGCGAUACGGGCAGACUAGAGUACUGCAGGGGAGACUGGAAUUCCUGGUGUAGCGGUGGAAUGCGCAGAUAUCGGGAGGAACACCGGUGGCGAAGGCGGUUCUCUGGGCCUGACCUGGACGCUGAGGAGCGAAAGCGUGGGGAGCGAACAGG
rnacentral:rRNA from 1 species